rnacentral:rRNA from 1 species
UGGGGGAUAUUGCACAAUGGGGGAAACCCUGAUGCAGCAACGCCGCGUGAAUGAUGAAGGCCUUCGGGUUGUAAAAUUCUGUUCUUGGUGAAGAUCAUGACGGUAGCCAAGGAGAAAGCUCCGGCUAACUACGUGCCAGCAGCCGCGGUAAUACGUAGGGAGCGAGCGUUGUCCGGAUUUACUGGGUGUAAAGGGUGCGCAGGCGGCUCUGCAAGUCAGGCGUGAAAGCUAGGGGCUCAACCCCUAAAUUGCGCUUGAAACUGUGGAGCUUGAGUGAAGUAGAGGCAGGCGGAAUUCCCGGUGUAGCGGUGAAAUGCGUAGAGAUCGGGAGGAACACCAGUGGCGAAGGCGGCCUGCUGGGCUUUAACUGACGCUCAGGCACGAAAGCAUGGGUAGCAAACAGG